rnacentral:rRNA from 1 species
AACGAACGCUGGCGGCAGGCCUAACACAUGCAAGUCGAGCGCACCCUUCGGGGUGAGCGGCGGACGGGUGAGUAACGCGUGGGAACGUGCCCUUCUCUGCGGAAUAGCCUCGGGAAACUGAGAGUAAUACCGCAUACGCCCUUUGGGGGAAAGAUUUAUCGGAGCAGGAUCGGCCCGCGUUGGAUUAGGUAGUUGGUGGGGUAAUGGCCCACCAAGCCGACGAUCCAUAGCUGGUUUGAGAGGAUGAUCAGCCACACUGGGACUGAGACACGGCCCAGACUCCUACGGGAGGCAGCAGUGGGGAAUCUUAGACAAUGGGGGCAACCCUGAUCUAGCCAUGCCGCGUGAGUGAUGAAGGCCUUAGGGUUGUAAAGCUCUUUCAGCUGGGAAGAUAAUGACGGUACCAGCAGAAGAAGCCCCGGCUAACUCCGUG